UUUCGCAAUGCCCGAAAGGGUGACAAUGCGACGCCGCGUGAGCGAUGAAGGCCUUCGGGUUGUAAAGCUCUGUCAGCAGGGAUGAAUACGUAACUGAUAAUAUCUAUUACGUUUGACGGUACCUGCAGAGGAAGCUUCGGCUAACUCCGUGCCAGCAGCCGCGGUAAUACGGAGGAAGCAAGCGUUGUUCGGAUUUACGGGGUGUAAAGGUCAUGUAGGCGUCUUAUUAAGUCGGGUGUGAAAUCCCAUGGCUCAACCAUGGAACUGCACUCGAUACUGAUAAGAUUGAGUACGAGAGAGGUAAGCGGAAUUCCGGAAGUAAGGGUGAAAUCUGUAGAUAUCCGGAAGAACACCAUUAGCGAAGGCGGCUUACUGGCUCGAUACUGACGCUGAAAUGAGAAAGCUAGGGGAGCGAACAGGAUUAGAUACCCUGGUAGUCCUAGCUGUAAACGAUGGGCACUAAGUAGAGGGGUUUUA
rnacentral:rRNA from 1 species